rnacentral:misc_RNA from 1 species
GCUCUUGGUUUCCAGCUUAAAACCUGCAAUACAGAAUAAGAAGACCAACACCACAAUAGGAAUAACAUCACUAGGUCCACACAAAAGCAUCCCAUUCACUCCAUCCUUUAACAGCAGAAAUCAAUUCAUUAUAAGACUGAGACUAUCAUUAAAACUUUGAAAAAUAAAUUCCCAUUUUAUUCGCUUAUUUCAAAAUCUCCCAAAUGAGCCAAUAAUUUGGAAGUUU